AGUGUGUUAUAACUAAGAAAUCAGAAUUUAUAAAAUUCUCUAAAAUUGAAAAAAAAAAAAAAAUACAAUUAGGGAUUUCAAAAUUCCUUAAAUGUGCCUUGUUAAAAACAUAUGAAAAAGAGUGAAGCUCUAUAAAACAAAAAUAUAAACAACAAAAUAGUAAUUAGAAAAUUUGGAAUAACAUUGAGAAAAAAACAAACUAAACAAAUCAAAUCAAGCAAUCCAAUCAACAUUUGAUUUAUAUUUUUAUUGGAUUUUAUUUCGUUAUUUUCGUAUCCCGAAUGCAAACUGUAAGUUUGUCAGCUAUGAACGGCGGCGUAAGUUCUUGCUACGAAGAAAAGGAAAACGUGGCGACCAUGAUGUCGUGUCCCCUUCCUAUGUCAUUAUCCAUAAUUCCAAAGAUACACAGUGAUUUCUCGCCAGUACAUAUUGGAGUUAAGGUA
rnacentral:sRNA from 1 species